rnacentral:tRNA from 1 species
UGGGAUAUCGCCAAGCGGUAAGGCGCUAGACUCUGACUCUGGUAUCCGUAGGUUCGAAUCCUACUAUCCCAG